rnacentral:rRNA from 1 species
UACGUAGGAUGCAAGCGUUGUCCGGAUUUACUGGGCGUAAAGCGCGCGCAGUCGGCACUCUAAGUACGUCGUGAAAUAUCCCGGCUCAACCGGGAGGGUGCGAUGUAGACUAGGGAGCUAGAGGUCGGUAGAGGGGGGUGGAAUUUCCGGUGUAGCGGUGAAAUGCGUAGAUAUCGGAAGGAACACCAGUGGCGAAAGCGGCUUCCUGGUCCAGCACCGACGUUCAGGCACGAAAGCGUGGGGAGCAAACAGG